GGCGCAGCGGCACAAAAUGGCGAAGCAGAAAAUGUCACCUGACCGGCGGUCCGGAGGGAACCAAUCACCGACUGUUUGAGAGGGGCGCGCUGAAACACACCGUGCCACACAACGUUUCUAUGAAAAAGAAAAGAAAAGAACUGUCACCCCUAUCAGACGUCACGUUGGUGCGCUCCGCUGCAGGCUUCCCCUUUGAUACACACACAUUCACCCUUGAGAGACAGGGGGAUGAAAUGAUGGGGAUAGGCAAGUGGAUGAGGAGACAGUGCAUAAUAUAAAGAAAAACAAAAUGUGUUCAUCCAAUCUUAUAAGAAAAACCAAGACUUUAUUUAUUUCAAUUGUACAAAUACAGUGUGUCAAACCCAGACUGAAUGUAAUAUAGGAUAUGCGAGAAUCCCACAGAUGAUUCAAUUGAUCUACCCAAAUACUAAAAUCCCCGAUGUUGCAUAUGUUUAAACAGUUCUCCACAUUUUGCACCAAGACUCUACCAUGCAGCAGAGGGUGGUUCACACUCAGCUGUGAUGGGAUGGAGCAGCGAGGAGCAUGAGUGAGAGAAUUUGAGGCUGAGUGUAUAUGGUUGUGUGUGUGUGGUGGGGGGAGGGAGCUGAGAAAUCCCCCAUGCCACUGUACAGAUCCCAGCUAGUGCAGGCUGGGAGACCCAGGAAGAGGAAGGGUUGACUGAGCUAGGGCACCACGGAGGAGAAGAAGCGUGCACGAGACAGAGAUAGCCUGUGCCUUCCCCAUGUUUCCUCCUCCUCCUCCUCCUCCUCCACCCAUCCCUCCACCCUGCUCUCUCUCUGCAUUACCCAGGCUAGUCAGCAACAGAGAAGGACCCCUCCCCCAUAUCACUGUAAAGCCUCUUCAUUCAACACGCAGUUUCUUCACCAGCAUCACAUCACAGGCCUCCAAACGCAAGGCUGUAUUAUGCAACAAGAAUAGAUCACUUUGAAGCAGGGAUGAUGAUGAUGAUGAUGAUGAUGGUGUGUGUGUGUGUGUGUGUGUGUGUGUGUGUGUGUGUGUGUGUGUGUGUGUGUGUGUGUGUGUGUGUGUGUGUGUGGUGAUGCACUCACAAAUAAAUAUGUGAUUUUCACUUCAUUUUCUCUUUCUCCUCUGACUGAACACACAUUGAUCCAGGACUCCUUUGGAAGACACAAAUGUAGCGUUUCUACCAGGGCCAGAAUAGGACGUUCCUAUCUGGGAUACAUGCUCAGCAGACAUUUAGAACGUGCAGUAAAGUAAUAUGAUAGGCUGUGUAACUACAUAUUGUUGCUUCCUGUUUGUUUUGGGCUGAUGGGUAAACGGAUUAGAUGGAUGCUCUUGUCCUUGCGUGGUAGUGAAUGAAUGAGUUGUGAGAGGAGGAUAUUAGAAACUGUGCACUUUUUUGAUGGCUGGUCUUGCUGAUGCUGUUUAAGAAAGGGAAACAAGGAACAAUGAUGAAUUCUCACCAGAACAAGAUUCAAUCAAUAUACAAUUGAAGAUGUUCUUAAAAAGCGUCAACAGUACAGUGUAAAUCUAGACAUACAAUGUAUCAUAGUGAUCGACAUAGGUAUAACUGCAGCUCUUUCGCCUUUCAGUGGUUCUGGUACUGUGAUGUAAUCAGACCAUGCAGGAUAAAGUUCAACAGACAGCACCACUCAGCAUGUGACCAAAACGUUACUCAGGCUUUCCUUCUUACUGCGUUGAAUAACUUUGAAUUUCCCAGUCAUUAAAAAUAUGUUAAUGCCGUGGAUAAACUUUGAUCCUAGAUUAUUAACACACCUUUUUCUAAAAAAAAAUGGUGAUAGCUUGAAAAAGAUCUGUGACUUGAAUUCAGUAAAACUUGAUUAAUAUCGGAAGAUACACCUCUCUCUGUCGCCACGAACACAUUGCAAGGUUCAGUCUGUGAGUCAAAACAAUAUAUGUCGGGACCUCCUUAGUGUACGUCCUAAUCGCCUGUCCACAGCCCCUUGUUAUCUGAGAGGUAGGGGCUGGUCGGGCAGAGACCCAUCUCAGUGUCGGGUUAAACACUUAAGCAUCUUACUACUUGAGGCUGGAAAGCAUGGUUUUCAGGAGAUGCGCCAGACCAACACCCAAAGGAGCAGCUAAAUAUAGACGUGCAUGUGCGAUUAGCAGUGUGAAUUCUGAAUGAACAGCACAGCCUUGGCAAGAUGGAGUCAACGCCACUUACUGUACUGUAAGAAGGAAUUACUCCACCACUUUGCAAUUCUACUACAAGCUACUACAUAGAUCCAUUGGACUGAGCCACACCCACUGCGAAUGAAAUGGCUGUAGCUUUAAAGAAUUUAAAAUGACACUGAGUUACUGUAUGGCAAAUGCAGUGUGUGAUGUACUUUUCAGUUUGACGUCUAAUAAACACCUCAUUUAAUUAUAA